rnacentral:rRNA from 1 species
UACGGAGGAUCCAAGCGUUAUCCGGAAUCAUUGGGUUUAAAGGGUCCGUAGGCGGUUUUGUAAGUCAGUAGUGAAAGCCCAUCGCUCAACGGUGGAACGGCCAUUGAUACUGCAAGACUUGAAUUAUUAGGAAGUAACUAGAAUAUGUAGUGUAGCGGUGAAAUGCUUAGAUAUUACAUGGAAUACCAAUUGCGAAGGCAGGUUACUACUAAUGGAUUGACGCUGAUGGACGAAAGCGUGGGGAGCGAACAGG